AGAGAUUACCUGAAGUUGCACUCAAAAGCAAGAUAUACUACUAACUUUGAAAUGGAAUAAGGUGAGUUGGUGGAUUAGUUCCAAAGUCACAUUGCGGGGAGGAAAUGUCACUCAAAUUGUCAUUCUUAGAAGACCUGCUAUUUGGCCAGGCGUGAGCCACCAUGCCCGGAUGUAUUAAUGGUAUUUUAAUAAUAACUCUUGGUUGAUAAACUUAAACAUGACAGUUUUGAGCAGGCACCUUAAGUUCUGUAUACUACCGUGAGGCCAGGCACUUGUUUAGCUUCUGUGUCAUAUAGCUACCCCUUGUAUUUUGUUCUUUUUUUUUUUUAGUAUAAUAAAUCUAUAGUUUUAUUAACACAGAAACUGAUAGUGUGGUAUGAGGUUUACGUUUAAACAAAGUUUUCACAGAAAUCUAACACAUGCCUAAAAAGAUUUUACAAUCUAGCUCUAGAUGCAAG
rnacentral:sRNA from 1 species